rnacentral:lncRNA from 1 species
AAACCAUUGUGUGACUUCAAACGGAUCCGUAAUGGCCCCUCAGCAAAGCAUUUUCAGAAGACUUGGGUAAGACCACGCGUGGAGAAGGUCGCCACAGCUCUGCACUCUGUCCACCUACAGGACUUCCUCUUGCCAUGACCUAACCCAGAGACAGCGACUGCAGGGCCAAUAUUAAAUACCCCCAACAGGAGCGAAAGAUUUUCAAACAGAUGAGAAACCAUCUUCCUGAAGACAAAAUAUUCAGCAUACUGGGGUAUCUUUUGUUUAGGACUGAGGCUCCACGUCAUGGGGUCUCUAGUGAG